rnacentral:rRNA from 1 species
CGUUCCCCGGGGCCUUGUACACACCGCCCGUCACACCACGAAAAGUUGGCAACACCCGAAGCCGGUGGCCUAACCCCUUGUGGGAGGGAGCCGUCGAAGGUGGGGUCGAUGAUUGGGGUG